UACGUAGGGGGCAAGCGUUAUCCAGAUUUACUGGGCGUAAAGCGCGUGUAGGCGGCUGGUUAGGUGUGAUGUGAAAUCUUCGGGCUCAACCCGAAAACUGCAUUGCAAACCGGCCUGGCUAGAGUGCAGGAGAGGGAAGCGGAAUUCCGAGUGUAGAGGUGAAAUUCGUAGAUAUUCGGAAGAACACCAGUGGCGAAGGCGGCUCACUGGACCGGUAUUGACGCUGAGGUGCGAAAGCGUGGGGAGCAAACAGG
rnacentral:rRNA from 1 species